CGCGUAGGCGGUUUUGUAAGUCGAAUGUGAAAGCCCCGGGCUUAACCUGGGAAUUGCGUUCGAUACUGCGAAACUAGAGUACGGUAGAGGGAAGUGGAAUUCCGGGUGUAGCGGUGAAAUGCGUAGAUAUCCGGAGGAACACCAGUGGCGAAGGCGACUUCCUGGGCCAGUACUGACGCUGAGGUGCGAAAGCGUGGGGAGCAAACA
rnacentral:rRNA from 1 species